GCUGGGGGUAGUUUGGGCCUCGUUUGGAGAACUGCUUGUCUUGGCAUACGUGAACCUUAUCUAUACAAGGAACAGAAGUUGUUUGUUUUAUAGCUACACAGCCUGAGGGAAACGGUCCCCUCACACAUUAUUGUGGGGAGAUGGCAUAGCUGUUCACAAAUGGCAACAACAUCACUCCCCCUUCCUCCUGCAAGGAGAACCUAUAAAACCUUUCUCCUUGCACUCAACAAGGUGACCUAUACCACGCUAUAGGGAAAACAUACACUUGAAACACUUUCGAAGGCUUCUUUUACAUGUCCUUUUUUCCCCCAUGUUCUUCAGCCUACAAAGCCGAAUGGCUGCAGUUCCCGUGUAGAGUUUGUCAUUGAAACGUUAAAGCCUGUAAAAGUAAACCAAAUGAACUGCUCUAUAUUUCAGGGCGUCAGGAAUUUAAGGCAAGAUAUUUUACAACCCAGGCUGUUAAGUACCAUAAUUUCUGCAUAUACGUGAGGCAUACAGCAUAGUUACAUCAGUUGAAAGCCUGUACGCCUAGCUGUCUAUGAGAUAAAGCUUUCUGUCUAGUCCUAACAGCUUUAAAAUUGUAAAAAUUCUGCAUUGCAGAAGCAAAUAUGAUUCUCAUAAACCAGAGGCUGAGUGACCCUCUGAAGCCAGUUCAUAUGGGAGGGAUGGUUGUGCAGCAUCAGGGAUGCACCAGCUCACUGCAGAGAUCAAAGCAUUCGUAUCACUAGAUACUGAUAGAUGACCAUACAGAGAGGCACCAUUUCUCAAAUCCACUGAUGGGUGACAUACCUUUCUUAAUCCUGAUGUCCUCAUGGUCUUUGUUUUGUUACUCCAUAGGCUUUUGCAUCAGAGACACCCAGCAGGUUUUGGAGACACAAGGCUGGCUGUUGCAAGCUGUCACAAGAUUUGAAACAGGUUUCCAAAUAACUAUGGCAAACAAAACUGUGAAUGAUUUGUCAGUGCAAAGUUAAUAAUCUCUAUCUCUUGCAUUUAUUGUGUGCUCAUCCCAGGGUUAUCUAAGCUUCCAUACCUACUCUUGGAAAUAAUAAACCAUUUUAUUAUUGUCUUUAUCUUUUCUUCUUUCUCCUCUUCAAGCAAGCUUUAAAAAAAAAAAAAAAAAAAAAAAAUCAGUUUCUCUUGAAAAUGUAGCAUGCUUAUCCUAACCCCAUUGAAAUUAAUAUGGAUUUUGCCACUAGCUUCACAGACAGCAGGCUUGUGCUUAUUUAUGCAGCAUUCUGAAGCUCACAAAGAACGUGAUGAUUCUGCAAAGAAUGCAAGUGCUGAAAGUGAAAUAGUAACGUUCAUCUAUAUUUCAAACCACCUUCAAAACCCUCCUGGAUAUGAAAUACAACCCAAACCAUCUUUCUUUGAGUGGUCCUACUUAAGUAUUGAGCAAACUUUAUAAUAAUGGUAAUAAAUUGGUGCUUGAGGCAGUUUCAGCUAUAUUACAUAUUCUCAAUAUACUAUAGAUAUGGAUGUAUUCACCCUCUAUAUUGUAUAUGUAUGUGUGUAUUUACAUAUAGCACUCAUACAUAUAUGUUUUAUGUAUGCAUAGAUACUAACAACUUUUCUAAGUUUUACUUCUUUCCCUCCCAUAGCUGAAACUGCUGGUUACUAACAAACAUCCACAUCAUAUUCUAUGUAUGAAGGAUAUAAUUUAUUUGUAAACUCAGGAUGUUCUUGUUUUAUAGAGUUGCUUGUAUUUUAUAAUUUAUUUACACAUCAUGGUUGGAAAUGCUUAUCUAAGUGCUAUGCAUCGAAGUGUAUGUUUGCUAAAUCCAUUUCAUUCUGUCUGUGGCUACAUUCUUUCUCAUUAUGACAGUGGUAUAAAAUAGGGCUAAGGAGGAGACAAACUGAUGGAUAUAGAACUUAUGCCGGUACCACCAGUAAUUCUGGAAGAGGAUGUAUCAGUAGUAGAUGAUAUAUAUAUAUUUUAUCAACUAAAUAUUAUGGGGAGUUGGGGGCUGGGAGAGAAAAAGAAAGAACAACAUUAGGACAAGUUCAAAAUGUGGAAAGUCACAGCCAUUUCCAAGUUGGUCAACAAAUGCAUUGAGCCUUUUGCCAUUAAAAUUGUAAAGUUUAUUGUUUGCUGGCUAAAAAAUAUCCUUUUUGUGGUAUAUCUGAGGUGUGAAACAUUGUUAAAAAUAUGAUGUCUGGAAAAAAAAUCAAACUAUAGUGGCAUUAAAUGUUUACUUUUAUCUU
rnacentral:lncRNA from 1 species